rnacentral:rRNA from 1 species
GAUGAACGCUGGCGGCGUGCCUAAUACAUGCAAGUCGAGCGGACGGACGAGAAGCUUGCUUCUCUGAUGUUAGCGGCGGACGGGUGAGUAACACGUGGAUAACCUACCUAUAAGACUGGGAUAACUUCGGGAAACCGGAGCUAAUACCGGAUGAUAUUUUGAACCGCAUGGUUCAAAAGUGAAAGACGGUCUUGCUGUCACUUAUCGAUGGAUCCGCGCUGCAUUAGCUAGUUGGUAAGGUAACGGCUUACCAAGGCAACGAUGCAUAGCCGACCUGAGAGGGGGAUCGGCCACACUGGAACUGAGACACGGUACAGACUCCGACGGGAGGCAGCGGUAGGGAAUCUUCCGAAAUGGGCGAAAGCCUGACGGAGCAACGCCGCGUGAGUGAUGAAGGUCUUCGGAUCGUAAAACUCUGUUAGUAGGGAAGAACAUAUGUGUAAGUAACUGUGCACAUCUUGACGGUACCUAAUCAGAAAGCCACGGCUAACUACGUG